rnacentral:rRNA from 1 species
UACGUAGGGUGCAAGCGUUGUCCGGAAUCAUUGGGCGUAAAGCGCGUGUAGGCGGCUCGAUAAGUCUGUUGUGAAAGCCCAGGGCUCAACCCUGGAACGCCGAUGGAUACUGUCGAGCUAGAGUCCGGAAGAGGCGAGUGGAAUUCCUGGUGUAGCGGUGAAAUGUGUAGAGAUCGGGAGGAACACCGGUGGCGAAGGCGGGUCUCUGGGCAAUUCCUGACGCUGAGGCGCGAAAGCGUGGGGAGCAAACGGG